UUGACCCAUUGCGUGGCGCCGCCUCCCUAAUUCUGAAACUGCGGGUUUUGAUUUUGGUCUUCGAAUUUGGAUUCUUUUUAUCUCUCUACGCUACAAUAUGAUUCUGAUAAAAUUUUAAAAUCAGAAAUCGGUUUGGCAGAAGUGCUCUUUUACUUUGAUUAAUAUAUUUCCACCUGAGACAAAAGGAAGAAAGAGAGAGAGAGAGCGCGCUGGCGCUUGCUUUCCUGUUUUUACAGAUUUUCUUCGUUUUCACUCUGCGCAAG
rnacentral:misc_RNA from 1 species